UAGAGUUUGAUCCUGGCUCAGAGCGAACGCUGGCGGUAUGCUUAACACAUGCAAGUCGAGCGAGAAAGUGGCUUCGGCCACGAGUACAGCGGCGGACGGGUGCGUAACACGUGGAUAAUCUGCCUUCAGGUCUGGGAUAACCCUGGGAAACUAGAGCUAAUACCGGAUAAGACCACAGGUUCCAUGGAACCAAGGGUAAAAGGCGGCCUUCGGGCUGUCUCCUGAAGAUGAGUCCGCGUCCCAUCAGGUUGUUGGUGAGGUAACGGCUCACCAAGCCGAAGACGGGUAGCCGACCUUAGCGGGUGAUCGGCCACACGGGGACUGAGACACGGCCCCGACUCCUACGGGAGGCAGCAGUGGGGAAUCUUGGGCAAUGGGCGAAAGCCUGACCCAGCAAUACCGCGUGAGGGAUGAAGGCCUUCGGGUCGUAAUCCUCUGUCAGCAGGAACGAUGGGUCUCCGUGCUAAUACCACGGAGACUUGACGGUACCUGCAAAGGAAGCCCCGGCUUACUCCGUGCCAGCAGCCGCGGUAAUACGGAGGGGCAAGCGUUGCUCGAAUUACUGGGCGUAAAGGUCCGCAGUGG
rnacentral:rRNA from 1 species